AUAUAUAUAUAUAUAUUAUAUGAUUCAUGUGAAUGUAAAUAAUAAACAUAAGAAGGGGAGUCUCGUGUUGUCGCCGGAGCUCUAAUUACCCCCAAACCCCUUAAGCUGUUGCGUGCGCGACUUCCUGCUCCCGCUCGUCGCCGCUUCCUGUUGGUUUGUAUUUGGCUGAUGUUGUGUCGAGGACCGAUGGGAGAUUAUCUAUCUAUCCCCUGGCCAAUUAGUUGCCACCUUUGAGCAAUCAGCUUGUAGCUUUUGGCCAUUUCCAGCCAUGUUGACUUGCGUCUUGCUCAUAUACGGUCAGCUUGGUAUGUAAUUUGAGAUUCAAGAAAGUGCUCGAGUCCAUGUGCUUAUGAAGUGCUCAGCAUCGCGCAAUCCUUGCAAUAUGUAUAUUUUCUGAUAGAUAAAGCCUAUAUGUUUCUGUA